UACGUAGGGUGCAAGCGUUGUCCGGAAUUAUUGGGCGUAAAGAGCUCGUAGGCGGUCUGUCACGUCGGCUGUGAAAACCCGAGGCUCAACCUCGGGCCUGCAGUCGAUACGGGCAAACUAGAGUACUGCAGGGGAGACUGGAAUUCAUGGUGUAGCAGUGAAAUGCGUAGAGAUCAUGAGGAAGACCAGUGGCGAAGGCGGGUCUCUGGACAGUUCCUGACACUGAGGCACGAAGGCCAGGGGAGCAAACGGG
rnacentral:rRNA from 1 species